rnacentral:lncRNA from 1 species
AUGUGUGUUAUAGAUGGAUCUGAGAACGCUGUCUGGGCUUGGUGCCAAGGGCUGGUAUUUCACAGCAGCGACCGCCUCACAGACGAGCUGUGGGAAGCAGGAGGGAGACUCUCUCUUAGGGUGCCACUACUAUGGAGACACAGCUGGGCUGAACAAGAUUUGCUUCAAACGACAACAAGAGAGACAGAAAGUAUCUGGUUCAACCGCUGCCCGAGCAGGCAGGCACCAGAAGAGCUAGCAGCCAAUCCGGCCAUGCUCGAAGCCAGCUCUGCAGCUCAGCCAAUCAGUGACAUCACUGCUUUCUUUAGCUUGCCCAUGGUGAUGUGAAGAUGAGAAGAAAUAGCAAGGCCCAACCAGUUCUUCAUCUGAAGACAGUUCAAUGUUCUGCAAACCAGGUAAAAAUAAUACAGACGAUUUUAGGAAUGCACAGUCCCUUUAUAAAAGAAACUAUUUCCUUUCUCAAGUUUGAUCUACAGAUUUUUGCAAGAAGCUAUAUUUAUCAUCUAAUGUGUAACUUGUUAAUAAACAUGACAUUAUAUCAAUUUCAAUUAUCUGUGAAGAGCAGAGCGACUAAAGCAUGCAUUUGUGUAGUGACUCAUGAAUAAAGUCAUAGUUGUAGUGUAACCUACUUUUAUGGAAAUAUUUUAAAGAAAAAAAGAGGACGUGGCUACUUGAUUUGCUUGUUAUAAUUCUAAACAAAGGAAAGAGGAGUGGGCUAAAUAAAUUUAAUAUUUCUUUAAAAAUAACUUUUACCAAAUGAAUAUAUUUGCAUAUAUUUAAAAUUCAAGUAAAUUUAAAGGCUAGUAACUAAAUAAAUAAACGUUUUAUUUAUUUAUUUCCUGCACCACUGCAGGAAAACAACCACUUUCAAACUCUUUAAUUUUUAUUUUACUUUUGUGGAUUUAAAUAACAUCUAUACAUCUAUCUCAUGAUUUUUAGAGUUAGUGCUCUAAUAAUUGAUUUCUUGUAGCUAUAGAUGUGGAUUUAAACUUCCUUAAAACCCCCACAUUCUUGAUUCUCCCUGUAUAGCUAUAUCACUAUUUUUACAAUUUUAGUUUAAAUCUGUAUCUGAAUUUAUAGUUAGCAAGACUAUACAAGUAGUGUUUACUGCUAAGCCUGGUGAUGUGAUACGAUUGCAUUCUCUUUACUGUAGUAGAAUUUUCGUUUUUCUCUUGAAUUCAGUGCUUUCCUUUCCUUUCCUCCCUCCCUCCCUCCCUCCCUCCCUCCCUCCCUCCCUUCCUUCCUUCCUUCCUUUUUCUGUCUCUCUUUCUUUUUCUGUCUC